rnacentral:rRNA from 1 species
GAUGAACGCUGGCGGCGUGCCUAAUACAUGCAAGUCGAGCGAACGGACGAGAAGCUUGCUUCUCUGAUGUUAGCGGCGGACGGGUGAGUAACACGUGGAUAACCUACCUAUAAGACUGGGAUAACUUCGGGAAACCGGAGCUAAUACAGGAUAAUAUUUUGAACCGCAUGGUUCAAAAGUGAAAGACGGUCUUGCUGUCACUUAUAGAUGGAUCCGCGCUGCAUUAGCUAGUUGGUAAGGUAACGGCUUACCAAGGCAACGAUGCAUAGCCGACCUGAGAGGGUGAUCGGCCACACUGGAACUGAGACACGGUCCAGACUCCUACGGGAGGCAGCAGUAGGGAAUAUUCCGCAAUGGGCGAAAGCCUGACGGAGCAACGCCGCGUGAGUGAUGAAGGUCUUCGGAUCGUAAAACUCUGUUAUUAGGGAAGAACAUAUGUGUAAUUAACUGUUCACAUCUUGACGUUACCUAAUCAGAAAGCCACGGCUAACUACGUG